GAUGAACGCUGGCGGCGUGCCUAAUACAUGCAAGUCGAGCGAACAGAUGAGGAUCUUGCUCCUCUGACGUUAGCGGCGGACGGGUGAGUAACACGUGGAUAACCUACCUAUAAGACUGGGAUAACUUCGGGAAACCGGAGCUAAUACCGGAUAAUAUAUUGAACCGCAUGGUUCAAUAGUGAAAGACGGUUUUGCUGUCACUUAUAGAUGGAUCCGCGCCGCAUUAGCUAGUUGGUAAGGUAACGGCUUACCAAGGCAACGAUGCGUAGCCGACCUGAGAGGGUGAUCGGCCACACUGGAACUGAGACACGGUCCAGACGCCUACGGGAGGCAGCAGUAGGGAAUGUUCCGCAAUGGGCGAAAGCAUGACGGAGCAACGCCGCGUGAGUGAUGAAGGUCUUCGGAUCGUAAAACUCUGUUAUUAGGGAAGAACAAAUGUGUAAGUAAAUAUGCACGUCGUGACGGUACCUAAUCAGAAAGCCACGGCUAACUACGUG
rnacentral:rRNA from 1 species